rnacentral:rRNA from 1 species
CUUAGUGGCGGACGGGUGAGUAACGCGUGGGUAACCUGCCUUAUACAGGGGGAUAACACUUAGAAAUAGGUGCUAAUACCGCAUAAGCGCACGGCUCCGCAUGGGGCAGUGUGAAAAACUCCGGUGGUAUACGAUGGAUCCGCGUCUGAUUAGCUAGUUGGCGGGGUAACGGCCCACCAAGGCAGCGAUCAGUAGCCGGCCUGAGAGGGUGGACGGCCACAUUGGGACUGAGACACGGCCCAAACUCCUACGGGAGGCAGCAG